rnacentral:rRNA from 1 species
UACAGAGGCGGCAAGCGUUGUUCGGAAUUAUUGGGCGUAAAGAGCACGUAGGCGGCCUUGUAAGUCAGUUGUGAAAGCCUUCUGCUUAACGGAAGAACAGCAUCUGAUACUGCAAGGCUAGAGUGCGGAAGGGGAGAGUGGAACUUCUGGUGGAGCGGUGAAAUGCGUAGAUAUCAGAAGGAACACCGGCGGCGAAGGCGACUCUCUGGUCCGUAACUGACGCUGAGUGUGCGAAAGCUAGGGGAGCAAACGGG